rnacentral:rRNA from 1 species
AGAGUUUUGAUCCUGGCUCAAGGAAGAACCUGCGGCGUCCUAUACAUGCAAGUCGAGCGAAUGGAUUGAGAGCUUGCUCUCAAGAAGUUAGCGGCGGACGGGUGAGUAACACGUGGGUAACCUGCCCAUAAGACUGGGAUAACUCCGGGAAACCGGGGCUAAUACCGGAUAACAUUUUGAACUGCAUGGUUCGAAAUUGAAAGGCGGCUUCGGCUGUCACUUAUGGAUGGACCCGCGUCGCAUUAGCUAGUUGGUGAGGUAACGGCUCACCAAGGCAACGAUGCGUAGCCGACCUGAGAGGGUGAUCGGCCACACUGGGACUGAGACACGGCCCAGACUCCUACGGGAGGCAGCAGUAGGGAAUCUUCCGCAAUGGACGAAAGUCUGACGGAGCAACGCCGCGUGAGUGAUGAAGGCUUUCGGGUCGUAAAACUCUGUUGUUAGGGAAGAACAAGUGCUAGUUGAAUAAGCUGGCACCUUGACGGUACCUAACCAGAAAGCCACGGCUAACUACGUGCCAGCAGCCGCGGUAAU